CACGAACGCUGGCGGCAGGCUUAACACAUGCAAGUCGAACGGGUGUAGCAAUACAUCAGUGGCAGACGGGUGAGUAACACGUGGGAACCUUCCUCGGGGUACGGAACAACUGAGGGAAACUUGAGCUAAUACUGUAUACAUCCGUGAGGAGAAAGAUUUAUCGCCCUGAGACGGGCCCGCGUCAGAUUAGCUAGUUGGUGGGGUAACGGCCUACCAAGGCGACGAUCCGUAGCUGAUAUUAGAGGAUGAUCAUCCACACUGGGACUGAGACACGGCCCAGACUCCUACGGGAGGCAGCAGUGGGGAAUCUUGGACAAUGGGCGCAAGCCUGAUCCAGCCAUGCCGCGUGAGUGAAGAAGGUCUUCGGAUUGUAAAGCUCUUUUGCCAGGGACGAUAAUGACGGUACCUGGAGAAUAAGCCCCGGCAAACUUCGUGCCAGCAGCCGCCGUAACAC
rnacentral:rRNA from 1 species